rnacentral:misc_RNA from 1 species
GUAGGUGAACCUGCGGAAGGAUCAUUAUUGAAAUAAACCUGAUAAGUUGUUGCUGGUUCUCUAGGGAGCAAUGUGCACACUUGUCAUCUUUGUAUCUUCACCUGUGCACCUUUUGUAGACCUGAUUAUCUCUCUGAAUGCUUUGUAGCACUCAGGAUUGAGAAUUGACUUCUUGUCUCUUCUUAUAUUUUCAGGUCUAUGUUUAUUCAUAUACCCUAAUGUAUGUUUAUAGAAUGUUAUUAAUGGGCCUUUGUGCCUAUAAACCUUUACAACUUUCAGCAACGGAUCUCUUGGCUCUC